rnacentral:rRNA from 60 species
AGUUUCAACAACGGAUCUCUUGGCUCUCGCAUCGAUGAAGAACGCAGCGAAAUGCGAUAAGUAAUGUGAAUUGCAGAAUUCAGUGAAUCAUCGAAUCUUUGAACGCACCUUGCGCUCCUUGGUAUUCCUUGGAGCAUGCCUGUUUGAGUAUCAUG